UCGGCCCCGGUUCACGUGACGCAUCCCGCCGAUCGACCCGGAGCC
rfam:Streptomyces sp. CNQ-509, complete genome.